rnacentral:rRNA from 1 species
GACGAACGCUGGCGGCGUGCUUAACACAUGCAAGUCGAACGGAAAGGCCCUGCUCUUGUGGGGUGCUCGAGUGGCGAACGGGUGAGUAACACGUGAGUAACCUGCCCUUGACUUUGGGAUAACUUCAGGAAACUGGGGCUAAUACCGGAUAGGAGCUCCUGCUGCAUGGUGGGGGUUGGAAAGUUUCGGCGGUUGGGGAUGGACUCGCGGCUUAUCAGCUUGUUGGUGGGGUAGUGGCUUACCAAGGCUUUGACGGGUAGCCGGCCUGAGAGGGUGACCGGCCACAUUGGGACUGAGAUACGGCCCAGACUCCUACGGGAGGCAGCAGUGGGGAAUAUUGCACAAUGGGCGGAAGCCUGAUGCAGCAACGCCGCGUGCGGGAUGACGGCCUUCGGGUUGUAAACCGCUUUCGCCUGUGACGAAGCGUGAGUGACGGUAAUGGGUAAAGAAACACCGGCUAACUACGUG